GACGAACGCUGGCGGCGUGCCUAAUACAUGCAAGUCGAGCGAAUUGAUUUGGAGCUUGCUCCAAUGAUGUUAGCGGCGGACGGGUGAGUAACACGUGGGUAACCUGCCUUAUAGAUUGGGAUAACUUCGGGAAAUCGGAGCUAAUACCGAAUAAUACUUUUUGACACAUGUCAGUUAGUUGAAAGGCGGUUUCGGCUGUCACUUAUAGAUGGACCCGCGCCGUAUUAGCUAGUUGGUAAGGUAACGGCUUACCAAGGCGACGAUACGUAGCCGACCUGAGAGGGUGAUCGGCCACACUGGAACUGAGACACGGUCCAGACUCCUACGGGAGGCAGCAGUAGGGAAUCUUCCGCAAUGGGCGAAAGCCUGACGGAGCAACGCCGCGUGAGUGAUGAAGGUCUUCGGAUCGUAAAACUCUGUUGUUAGGGAAGAACAAAUUUGUUAGUAACUGAACAAGUCUUGGCGGUACCUAACCAGAAAGCCACGGCUAACUACGUGCCAGCCGCCGCGGUAC
rnacentral:rRNA from 1 species